rnacentral:rRNA from 1 species
GAACGGCAGCACGGCAGAGCUUGCUCUGUGGGUGGCGAGUGGCGGACGGGUGAGGAAUACAUGGGAAUCUGCCCAGUCGUGGGGGAUAACGUAGGGAAACUUACGCUAAUACCGCAUGCGCCCUUCGGGGGAAAGCCGGGGACCUUCGGGCCUGGCGCGAUUGGAUGAGCCCAUGUCGGAUUAGCUAGUUGGCGGGGUAACGGCCCACCAAGGCGACGAUCCGUAGCUGGUCUGAGAGGAUGAUCAGCCACACUGGAACUGAGACACGGUCCAGACUCCUACGGGAGGCAGCAGUAGGGAAUAUUGGACAAUGGGCGCAAGCCUGAUCCAGCCAUGCCGCGUGAGUGAAGAAGGCCUUCGGGUUGUAAAGCUCUUUUGUCCGGAAAGAAAAGCUUCGGGUCAAUACCCCGGAGUCCUGACGGUA